AGGGAUGUAGUUAAGUAUAACAUUUGAUUUGCAUUCAAAAAGUAUUGUCUACCAAUCUUCCUUA
rnacentral:tRNA from 1 species